AAAAUGAGAGUUUGAUCCUGGCUCAGGACGAACGCUGGCGGCGUGCCUAAUACAUGCAAGUCGAGCGAGCAAUUUUGACGGAAUACUUCGGUAGGAAGUCAGAAGCGCGAGCGGCGGAUGGGUGAGUAACACGUGGGCAACCUGCCCUUUAGCUUGGGAUACCACUUGGAAACAGGUGCUAAUACCAAAUAAGCAGCAAGAGCGCAUGCUCAAGCUGAGAAAGGCGGCUUUCGAGCUGUCACUAAAGGAUGGGCCCGCGGUGCAUUAGCUAGUUGGUAAGGUAAGGGCCUACCAAGGCGAUGAUGCAUAGCCGAGUUGAGAGACUGACCGGCCACAUUGGGACUGAGACACGGCCCAAACUCCUACGGGAGGCAGCAGUAGGGAAUCUUCCACAAUGGACGCAAGUCUGAUG
rnacentral:rRNA from 1 species